rnacentral:rRNA from 1 species
AGUAUAAGCAAUUAUACAGCGAAACUGCGAAUGGCUCAUUAUAUAAGUUAUCGUUUAUUUGAUAGUACCUUACUACUUGGAUAACCGUGGUAAUUCUAGAGCUAAUACAUGCUAAAAAUCCCGACUUCGGAAGGGAUGUAUUUAAUAGAUUAAAAACCAAUGCCCUCUGGGCUCUCUGGUGAUUCAUAAUAACUUCUCGAAUCGCAUGGCCUUGGGCCGGCGAUGGUUCAUUCAAAUUUCUUCCCUAUCAACUUUCGAUGUUUGGGUAGUGGCCAAACAUGGUUGCAACGGGUAACGGAGGGUUAGGGCUCGACCCCGGAGAAGGAGCCUGAGAAACGGCUACUACAUCCAAGGAAGGCAGCAGGCGCGCAAAUUACCCAAUCCCGAUUCGGGGAGGUAGUGACAAUAAAUACUGAUACAGGGCUCUUUUGGGUCUUGUAAUUGGAAUGAGUACAAUUUAAAUCGGUUAACGAGGAACAAUUGGAGGGCAAGUCUGGUGCCAGCAGCCGCGGUAAUUCCAGCUCCAAUAGCGUAUAUUAAAGUUGUUGUGGUUAAAAAGCUCGUAGUUGAACCUUGGGCCUGGCUGGCCGGUCCGCCUCACCGCGUGUACUGGUCCGGCCGGGCCUUUCCCUCUGUGGAACCCCAUGCCCUUCACUGGGUGUG